rnacentral:miRNA from 1 species
UGAGGUAGUUAAGAAUAGCACU